ACUCUGCGUAUGGGCGGUGGACUGCAGUUGGCCCACGGGCUGUAGUUUGGACACCCCUGGUUUAUCUGUAAACUACAUUGUGGUUGCAAAUUGGCUGAGAAUGACUUGUGUUUUAAGACACUUAAUACAAACACACAACAUUGAACAGGUUUAAUAUUUGACAUUUCUGAUUUGGGAGUAAAAGUCCUGCUCAGUCGCAAUGUAGCUCACAUGUCCAGAUUUCUUCUUUUUUUUCCCUAAAUAGCACAGCUUGUUGAAGGCAGAUUUCCAGCUGAGCAUAAUUAAGAAUGAUGCUCUAAUUGACCUCCCACUGCUGCUCAGUUUCAUCUCAUUAUGUCCUCUGGCAAUCUGUCACAUGUUCAGAUGAGGUUACCACCUUCGUCUUUCGCAUGUUAUCCACAAUCGUGUUUUAAGGUUACUUCUCAUGUCCGCCUAGCAGCUUUCCCUGUCAUGGCGUCCCUUCACUCUUCUGCUGUCCACUGAUACGGAUCACUGAAAUGCUCCACAAACUCUGUGAAGGAAAGCAGCUGGCUGACCUCUGAGGCCUCUUUGAGGGCUGCUAAUGGCUGACGAGCGGUCUACCUAAUAAGACACUGCGCAACCGCUUUUGUUUCGACCCAGCCAUAAAAAGAAGAAUGAAGUUAACGGCAAAUAGAUGCGGGCCUUUCCAAACAAUAGUCCAUUCAUGAUGCCCUUGCAAUGCAAUGAUGAUCCCGCUCUGGCCUGCACCAGCCUCCACAGCUGCACUGGAAUGUAAUCCAACAAGUUCUCUGCCGCCCCCCAUCCCUUCAGCAACCUCCACCCCUCUCUCCGGCUGCCUCCUCCAUCGCUACCACGGCCACCGCAUCACCAGUUCGAACACCAUUGCAACCCAAGUCGCUCUCUUGCCCCCCCACCUCCAAAAAGGAGGCAAGAAACCAGGAGGAGGGAGCUGAAGGGGGAGAGCACAAAGAGAGAAUUCAUGUCGGGUCACAUACACUUGCAGGAAAAAAGAGCGGCACCCAUUUAGGAGUGGUGCAGCUGCACUAAUUCAUUGGGUGAAACUGAGAGGAGGCAAAAAAGGAGUGGCAGAGGUCAGAAAGCAGAAUCAUUUUUUAUUCGUCUCGCUGCAUCAUCCAUGGACACCUGCAUCAGUCGCUUCCUUCAUUGAGAGAUGAAAAAGAAAGGAGCAAGAUCUCGGGCCUGUCUGCUUCUUCCUUCUCGUGUCACCAUCUCAUGACCCGUUCCCAAUGUGACCCUUUUUUUCCCCCAAGACUUUCCUGCCCACACAUUCAGAUGACAUCAGGCCCUGCAGCCAUACAGACACGGCAACCCCACUGUCAUUUUCAACGGCCUUAAAAAUCUUGAAAAACUCUCAGUCUAUGCUCUUAAUGAGGUGUACAGUAGUCUGGAACUUGCAGUCCAAGUAUUUUAAUCACAUGAUUUUUUUUUUUUUUUUUUUUUAUUACUGAUAGCCACAAUUUGGAAUUUCCCUUGCACAAACCGACUUCAUCUGGUUCCACACAAGCCCUGAGUUUUUUUCUGAUAGAAUUUUAGAAUCUUUCCUCUUUGACAUUCCUUAAAAAUCGUCAGAACUGUAACAGCAUUUUUCCGCCAGGGUCUUUCACACAAGUCACUUUUUUGCAGAUUUUUUUAAAGGGAGGAGGGAGCAAGUAUUAUUAUAUACAGUGGGGCAAAUAAGUAUUUAGUCAACCACCAAUUGUGCAAGUUCUUCUACUUGAGAAGAUUAGAGAGGCCUGUAAUUGUCAACAUGGGUAAACCUCAACCAUGAGAGACAGA